GAGUAAUAUCACAACUGGUUCACGCCGGGUAUGCGAAUACUUCGUUGACGGAUGGCACUUCACUAACAGAGAACAACAAACGCCACGCGCGAGAGUUGAGCACGGUGCAGACGGUGCGCGCGUGUUGAACUGGUACCACCGUCAGUUAACGGAAGCUGCGCACGAGCGCUACUGCGCAGAUUUUGCGCAGAAAAGCGUCUUCAUAGCAACCUAGCUGAUUUCUUCGCGGGAACCUGGGCCAAUGGGAGAAAAAGCCGUAUACGAACGAUGAAGGGGAGGUAAUAGAAGAGAACCGCUAUGGGACGUCACAGCCCUUUCGCUUCAGAGAGGAUGACUACAACAAUCGGGCUCUCAACAAUCUGCCCUAUCUCCGCUUGCACGCGGGUCACGUUGACCUUCUCAAGAAGGAGUGUCUCGCCAAUGUGCACUUUGGUUACACGCACUUCUUGUUGAGGCGCUUUUAGACGACUUCACGGCGGCCAAAGCGGCAUUCCCGGGGAAACCCCUGAUCAAGUGCAUUCUGGAGGCGCUUCUGCUCGCCCGGAAUGGCCUGCAGAUGGAUCCGGUUCAGUUCAUGCUUCAGCUACUAGGGCGCCUGGAGGACAACGAAACAACAGCCGAGUUCAAGCAGCGCUUACGUGAAUAUAGCUCAAAAGUGUGGUUCGAGCCCGAUGUCAACAUCCUGGAGCGUCCCGGGGGUCAACUGCUUCACGGCAUUCACGUGCACACGUCCGAAAUUUACAUGAUGACGAUUACGUCAUGUGGACAUUAUGUAAUCACAGGUGCAUUAUACGUUAUGGCUUAACUUUAUAAAAGAGUUGCUUUUUUGGGGCGGGUUUACGAAACUGAAUUAACGUUUUUAGUUUCGCAAUUUUCGACAUGUAUAAAUUGUAAGAGUGGAUAUUUUAUUACAGUUUUGAACUUUCUUUAUCAACAUAUAUAAGCGUAAUCGAGGCCACAUAUUUCCAUUACGAUGAAACAAAUAUUGCACGAGAGAGGUCGGUAUUUACCGUUUAAUGGUGUGAUGAAAAAUGAAAUAAUUCACAGUCAUCUACAGAAACGAAACCAAAAUAAAUUGGUUCUAAAAUGUAAACAAACGUGAAAC